rnacentral:rRNA from 1 species
UACGUAGGUGGCAAGCGUUGUCCGGAUUUAUUGGGUUUAAAGGGUGCGUAGGCGGUCCUAUAAGUCAGUGCUGAAAUAUCCCGGCUUAACCGGGAGGGUGGCAUUGAUACUGUAUAACUUGAGUAAAGUUGAGGUUGGCGGAAUUGACGGUGUAGCGGUGAAAUGCUUAGAUAUCGUCAAGAACACCUAUUGCGAAGGCAGCUAACUAAGCUUUAACUGACGCUGAGGCACGAAAGUGUGGGGAUCAAACAGG